rnacentral:SRP_RNA from 1 species
GCUGGGCAUGGUGGCGCAUGCCUGUAGUCCCAGCUACUCGGGAGGCUGAGGCAGGAGAAGCACUUGAACCCAGGAAGCGGAAACAGCAGUGAGCCAAGAUCAUGCCACUGCACUCCCACCUGGGUGACAGAGCGAGACCCUGCCUCAA